ensembl:miRNA
UACAUUGAAGGUUCUGAGCUUUCGUAGAAAGUAAAUCCAGCUCAGACCCUUUUUGUAGG